GGAGCGUUAGUUCAGCUGGUUAGAAUACCUGCCUGUCACGCAGGUGGUCACAGGUUCGAGUCCCGUACGUUCCG
rnacentral:tRNA from 1 species